ensembl:lncRNA
UUCGGAUGUCUCCAGAACGCCUUCCUGGGAAGGUGUUCCGGUCCCGUCCCACCGGGAGGAGACCCCGGGGGAAAACCUAGGACACGCUGGAGGGACUAUGUCUCCCGGCUGGCCUGGGAACGCCUCGGUGUCCCCCCGGAAGAGCUGGAGGAAGUGUCUGGGAAGAGGGAAGUCUGGGCAUCCCUGCUUAGACUGCUGCCCCUGCGACCCGGCCCCGGAUAAAGCUGAAGAAGAUGAUGAUGAUGUUUCCCCCCCACAGCAUGGCUACUGUAUAUUCCUAACGUUAACAAUCCGGUUUUGUUCACGUUUUCUUGCAGAUACCUUGGCCAGAGCAUAACCGGUUAUCUUCACCCAAGAGACCUACUGUUGGUCAAUCGUUUUGGCUUUAAAGGUAAAUGCAUUGUUAGUCACAAUAUCUAGUUACUGGGCCAAAAGGAAAAUAAUAUUGAAAAGAGUUGAGAGGGACAAACAGGACAUUCACUUGAAUCACUACAUGCUACAGAAGUUGCAUCGAUUCCAGAAAACCAGGAAAAUGUUGAGCCAUCUAUAGACUUCAGAGCUGAACCAGGUUUCUCCCCAGUAAUCCAGACUCCACUUCACAGAGCCAAGAGUUUGAGUACAACUCGUCAAGUACUAAGCUUUACACCACCAGCAGCUAAUUUACCCUGGCAGCAUAUGGGUGAAAACGCUGGAGGUAUGUAAUACGUUGCGCUAAACUAAGUUUUACAUUUAAGUCCAAUUCAUUAAAUGUAUGCAAUUACUUCAAACAUAUUUUUACGUCAAUGAUUAUCAAUUGGAGAAAGUCAUCGCUUUGUUAUUGGCCAUUGGACGCACCUGGCAUCUCGUGUACAGCACAAAGUUUUCAGCUAUGAAGAUUUCCAGAGACUCCAGAAUGAAAACCAAACUCUGAGGGAGGAGAACCAAGUCCUGAGGGAAUGCAAUGCACAAGCAGCUUUGGAUGACAGCGGCUCACUUCAAGAGCAGGUGAAGCAAGUAGGGACAAUUUUGAAGACGUUUGCUCUCACUGGGCAAUCAGGUGCAUUACCUGAAAGGAGCAUCUGACCGUGAAGGCAGAAAAAGGCGGCGCACAGCUGAGAAGGACCCACAGCCGACCCCUUAAACCUAGGCUGACUACUGACACCCCAGCAUCACUGACAACUGGAACACUUUCUUUUUCCUGCAGUCAGUAACAUCAAGAAGCCAGAAGUGCCAGACUACACUCACCAAAUCCACCCUGUUUUUUUUUGUUUUUUAACUUUAGUAUUGGCUUAUUUCGUUCCGUCUUAACGAUUCUAUUAUAGUUUGUAAAUCCUAUUUCAUACCUGUUACUUGAUAUUGCACAUUAACUAGUACCAAAAUUCUACUUUCAUUUCAUCAGUGUGCUUAACUGUUAUUCUAUUAAUAAUAGCUUGGAAAUACUAUUUCAUACCUCUGAUACUUGAUAUUGCACAUUACCUGGUACCAAAUAUUCUACUUACUCUGUUUUUAACAUCAGCAUUUUUCAUUCCAUCACAGUGCUUAACUGUUAUUCUGUUGUUAAAUAUAGCUUGUAAAUCCUUGUUCCACAGGUCAGCAUUGCAGUUAUAAUGGUCUGUUCUACUACUGUUUUUACCUCCGAAUUUUUAUAUAAAUAUAUAUGUCAAGUUUUGUUUUUCACAGAUACAAGAGACACAGAUCUUAUUCCAGCACAGUGUAAAUCUUGUGCUCCAGGUCAGCAAUGCCAUUAUAAUGAUCUAUUCUACUCAAGAGCUUUACUCUAAAUUAUUACCACUUUUCCUAUUGUUAGAAAUGGCUUGAAAAUGGGAUGUUAUACCUCGAUUUAUUUGGUAUCCUGCACAUUCUUUGGUACCAAAUAUCCUCAUUACUUGUUAUGUUUACUGGUAAUUAUUUUCAUCCCAGAGCUGAC